rnacentral:misc_RNA from 1 species
UUAAGUUCAGCGGGUAGUCCUACCUGAUUUGAGGUCAAAUUUGUCAAAUGUGCACUCCCCAUAACAGGGAUUCACUUGUUAAGAAGCAGUGCAAUCCAUUCUUGCAGAGUACUAAAGGCAUAGAUAAUUAUCACACCUGUAGCAGUUUCUCUGCUAGGAGACCACUAAUGCAUUUCAGGGGAGCCGACUUUGAAAAGCCU